GAGUUUGAUCGUGGCUCAGGAUGAACGCUGGCGGCGUGCCUAAUACAUGCAAGUCGAACGCUUCACUUCGGUGAAGAGUGGCGAACGGGUGAGUAAUACAUAAGUAACCUGGCAUCUACAGGGGGAUAACUGAUGGAAACGUCAGCUAAGACCGCAUAGGUGUAGAGAUCGCAUGAACUCUAUAUGAAAAGUGCUACGGGACUGGUAGAUGAUGGACUUAUGGUGCAUUAGCUGGUUGGUGGGGUAACGGCCUACCAAGGCGACGAUGCGUAGCCGACCUGAGAGGGUGACCGGCCACACUGGGACUGAGACACGGCCCAGACUCCUACGGGAGGCAGCAGUAGGGAAUUUUCGGCAAUGGGGGAAACCCUGACCGAGCAACGCCGCGUGAAGGAAGAAGUAAUUCGUUAUGUAAACUUCUGUCAUAGAGGAAGAACGGUGGAUAUAGGGAAUGAUAUCCAAGUGACGGUACUCUAUAAGAAAGCCACGGCUAACUACGUGCCAGCCGCCGCAGUAACG
rnacentral:rRNA from 1 species